rnacentral:rRNA from 1 species
AUUGAACGCUGGCGGAAUGCUUUACACAUGCAAGUCGAACGGCAGCACGGACUACGGUCUGGUGGUGAGUGGCGAACGGGUGAGUAAUGUAUCGGAACGUGCCCAGUCGUGGGGGAUAACGUAGUGAAAAUUACGCUAAUACCGCACACGAUCUAUGGAUGAAAGCGGGGGAUCGCAAGACCUCGCGCGAUUGGAGCGGCCGAUAUCAGAUUAGGUAGUUGGUGGGGUAAAGGCCCACCAAGCCAACGAUCUGUAGCUGGUCUGAGAGGACGACCAGCCACACUGGAACUGAGACACGGUCCAGACUCCUACGGGAGGCAGCAGUGGGGAAUUUUGGACAAUGGGCGAAAGCCUGAUCCAGCCAUUCCGCGUGCAGGAUGAAGGCCCUCGGGUUGUAAACUGCUUUUGUACAGAACGAAAAGGUUUCUACUAAUACUAGGAGCUCAUGACGGUACUGUAAGAAUAAGCACCGGCUAACUACGUGCCAGCCGCCGCCGUAA